rnacentral:tRNA from 1 species
CUACGAAGAUGCUGAAGUAUUUAGAGAUGAUGUUCUUAAACAAGAUACUCGUGGUUCACAAACUGU